ACUAAAUAUACGCGAAUUUGAGCAAACAAGAAAGGAGACCCUGGUCUCGUUCUUCUCUCUCCCGUUCCCUUCCCCUGCUACAGUCCCCAAAAGGCGAACCGGAGGUGAGCGCUGUUCCGGCACCAAUCGCUCCGGUUCCCCUCUUCUCCGGUGGCCGCGUCGGCGCCGGAGAGGGAGGGGAACCGGGGGAGUUUGGUUGUCCGGCUGUAUAUCACCUUCCCUGGUUUACAUCUAGUUAGGGUUGCUUGCUUGUUCCCAUGUGGAUCUCGCUUGGGGAUUUUGCUGCGUCCGCUUUCUUUUCCGGCGAUUCGUCUGUCGUUGACGAUUGCUUGGAUGAAGAAAGCGUGAGAUGCCUCUUUCUCGGCUUCGUUCCCGGCGGUGGCUGUGCGUUCAACUCCGCCGACUCCUUUUCCAGUCGCUGGUUCUUCCGCUGGCGAUGGCGGAUCUGUGCUUCUCUUCUGCUUUCAGGCGUGCGGGCGGCCGAUGUUCUUUCAACGGAAUCGAGGCGUGCUGGUGGAAUCCAGGCGCUGGAUCAUGCGGCACAUCCAAGCUUUGGAGCCUUGCGUCUUGGCGGAAGAUGAAGAUGUUCUGGUCCUGGUGGGCGUCGCCGGCGACUGGGACGGAGGAAGACGACGACGCGAAGCAGGUUAUGGUGUUUGGAGUUGCGUUGUGUAAUUCCAAUUUGUCCAGGGGCUUGGCUGUAAAAGGUCGGGGAUGUAAUGUGCUGAUAUUGCUGUUUAAUAUAGUUCCCUCCUUUUCGCAAAAAAAAAACGCGAAUUUGAAAUUACUUUUU